AGUGAACGCUGGCGGUAGGCCUAACACAUGCAAGUCGAACGGCAGCACAGUAAGAGCUUGCUCCUACGGGUGGCGAGUGGCGGACGGGUGAGGAAUACAUCGGAAUCUACUUUUUCGUGGGGGAUAACGUAGGGAAACUUACGCUAAUACCGCAUACGACCUACGGGUGAAAGCAGGGGAUCUUCGGACCUUGCGCGAUUGAAUGAGCCGAUGUCGGAUUAGCUAGUUGGCGGGGUAAAGGCCCACCAAGGCGACGAUCCGUAGCUGGUCUGAGAGGAUGAUCAGCCACACUGGAACUGAGACACGGUCCAGACUCCUACGGGAGGCAGCAGUGGGGAAUAUUGGACAAAGGGCGCAAGCCUGAUCCAGCCAUACCGCGUGGGUGAAGAAGGCCUUCGGGUUGUAAAGCCCUUUUGUUGGGAAAGAAAAGCAGCAGGUUAAUACCCCGCUGUUCUGACGGUACCCAAAGAAUAAGCACCGGCUAACUUCGUG
rnacentral:rRNA from 1 species